UACAGAGGUCUCGAGCGUUAGGCGGAAUCACUGGGCUUAAAGCGUGUGUAGGCGGAUCGUUAAGUACCUUGUGAAAUCCCACGGCUUAACCGUGGAACUGCUUGGUAUACUGGCGGUCUUGAGCCAGCUAGGGGCUACCGGAACAAAUGGUGGAGAGGUGAAAUGCGUAGAUAUCAUUUGGAACGCCAAUGGUGAAAACAGGUAGCUGGGGCUGUGCUGACGCUGAGGCACGAAAGCCAGGGGAGCAAACGGG
rnacentral:rRNA from 1 species